GAUGAACGCUGGCGGCGUGCCUAAUACAUGCAAGUCGAGCGAACAGAUGAGGAGCUUGCUCCUCUGACGUUAGCGGCGGACGGGUGAGUAACACGUGGAUAACCUACCUAUAAGACUGGGAUAACUUCGGGAAACCGGAGCUAAUACCGGAUAAUAUAUUGAACCGCAUGGUUCAAUAGUGAAAGACGGUUUUGCUGUCACUUAUAGAUGGAUCCGCGCCGCAUUAGCUAGUUGGUAAGGUAACGGCUUACCAAGGCAACGAUGCGUAGCCGACCUGAGAGGGUGAUCGGCCACACUGGAACUGAGACACGGUCCAGACUCCUACGGGAGGCAGCAGUAGGGAAUCUUCCGCAAUGGGCGAAAGCCUGACGGAGCAACGCCGCGUGAGUGAUGAAGGUCUUCGGAUCGUAAAACUCUGUUAUUAGGGAAGAACAAAUGUGUAAGUAACUAUGCACGUCUUGACGCUACCUAAUCAGAAAGCCACGGCUAACUACGUG
rnacentral:rRNA from 1 species